rnacentral:rRNA from 1 species
GAUGAACGCUGGCGGCGUGCCUAAUACAUGCAAGUCGAGCGCACGGACGAGAAGCUUGCUUCUCUGAUGUUAGCGGCGGACGGGUGAGUAACACGUGGAUAACCUACCUAUAAGACUGGGAUAACUUCGGGAAACCGGAGCUAAUACCGGAUGAUAUUUUGAACCGCAUGGUUCAAAAGUGAAAGACGGUCUUGCUGUCACUUAUAGAUGGAUCCGCGCUGCAUUAGCUAGUUGGUAAGGUAACGGCUUACCAAGGCAACGAUGCAUAGCCGACCUGAGAGGGUGAUCGGCCAAACUGGAACUGAGACACGGUCCAGACUCCUACGGGAGGCAGCAGUAGGGAAUCUUCCGCAAUGGGCGAAAGCCUGACGGAGCAACGCCGCGUGAGUGAUGAAGGUCUUCGGAUCGUAAAACUCUGUUAUUAGGGAAGAACAUAUGUGUAAGUAACUGUGCACAUCUUGACGGUACCUAAUCAGAAAGCCACGGCUAACUACGUG